ACGAGCGGGGCUGAGUUAUCAGAGUGUAAGACGCGAUCCUUAUCGGGCGUUUUAUACGGCACAGAACCCGGUGAUAAUACUAGUCACAUCCUGGCCUCUCCCGGGAGCCCCGUUUUUCAUGGAAAACCGCGCCCGCGCAGAAAGUGCAUCCAUUAUUCGCGAUGAGGCCGGCUCAUUCGCCGUUCCGCGAGUCGCUGCAAGUGGAGUCCGCUUUUUCAAGUGUGGUGUAAAGAGCGGAAGAUAGGUGAAUAGUAGCGUGAGUCGUAAAACGCGCGAGUUUACGUCCUUGUUAACAGUUGUGACGACGGCCUAAACGUCUGCUUGGAAUAUGGAUUCAUUGGCAUCGCAACUUCCAUAGUAUGACUAAUUCUCCCAGUUGAACUGCAUUAACCAUAAACUCUGGUGAGCUCGAGUUGAAUCCACUCGUGGGCCCGCAAAAUACUUCUUCAGUGAUAGUCGUCUUCACGGACUCAUUUAUGAGGUGCUGAAGAGUGAAAAUGUCACUGCAUCGAAGUUCUUUCAAGUGCGUAAAAGUGCCUCGUUUUCGGUAACAUGUUCCGGUCGAAGUUUUCAUAAAAAUGAAACAGAACCAAACGAUUGUGAAUAUGUUCUUUGAUGUGCUUGUAUGUGUAAUCGCUGUUUCUCUUCCGUUGAGCCAGCAAUGUGAAAGAAAUUCAACUAAUACGGCUAUCAAAAGCGUCAUAUCUCAACUCAGUGAGCUGGAACAUCUGCUCAAAAACAACGUAACUUCUCAUCAGGACGAAUUGUCAUCAUUUGAUAUUGAUGCAGGUCGUGGGCAUAAAGAUCACGGGCUGCUGUACCUGAUCCCUCUAUUUGUGGGCACGAAGACGGCCGGUUUGACCGCGGCGGCGUUCACGGUGAUCAAACUGUUCAUCAUUCAGGCCUUCGUGUUCAGCAAGCUGGCCCUCUUGUCGUUGUCUUAUCUGGUGCUCAAGAAGCUCCUGCAGUACAAUUCCAUCCACGUGCACAAGAUGGUUUCAAGCCCGUCGAGUUCCUUCGGUCUCCACGACUACAUGCCCGGCCUCCAGCUGGACACUGCCGGAACAUCCACGGACCCCUUCCAUGCCCAGGAUCCGGCCCACUAUUCCACCAUACUUCAAUCUCCUGAUUCGCAGCAUCAGGCGUUCAUUGGGGCAGCGCAUCAGGAAGAUUCAACGAAUGGAUUCACACCGUCAAGUGAGUUCACAGGAUUGGGUGCCCACGCAUCACCUGAUCUCCAGGGACAGUUCUCAAUCGCUUCGCAGAGCAAAGUUGUUCGGCCCAGCAAUGACACAAAUAAAGCCGAUGAUCGUAUUUUUAGAACGUAUCCAUCACUAGCAAGACGACGGGUAUUCUAUCCUGCAGGUGUUACGCAUUUCUCGGGAGCGCUGCGGCAACGGCUGACGCAUUAAAAAUGCAAUACUGCAUUGUAAAAAUAUUUCAAUCUAAUGUAUCUCAUUUUCAUAAAUCUCAGAUUAGAAUAAAGGAUAUUUGCACUCGUU
rnacentral:lncRNA from 1 species